rnacentral:rRNA from 1 species
ACGAGAUGUAGAGAGGUCUCGUGGGCUCGGAGAUGUGUAUAAGAGACAGACUGCCUCAUGGAGUGACGUGGAGACGGAGAAGUGACAGUCCUGCCGGCUGACGGAAUAGCCGGUUGAAGGGUGUAGAUAUUGAUUCCCGUAGGCAAAUCCGCGGGGAGAGUCGAACCUGAGAGUAUACCGAGUACUUGUACGAGGUAAUAUGGACGUAACCAUGCUCCCAAGAAAAUCCGCUAAACUUAUCCAUGCGGCACCCGUACCGUAAACGGACACACGUGGUCGGGUUGAGAAUACUGAGGCGCUCGAGUGAUUCACGGUUAAGGAACUAGGCAAAUUGACCCUGUAACUUCGGGAUAAAGGGUCCUCGUCGUAAGGCGAGGCGCAGAGAAUAGGUCCAGGCAACUGUUUAACAAAAACACAUGGCUGUGCUAAAUGGAAACAUGACGUAUACAGCCUGACACCUGCCCGGUGCUGGAAGGUUAAGAGGAGAUGUCAUCGCGAGAGAAGCGUUGAAUUGAAGCCCCAGUAAACGGCGGCCGUAACUAUAACGGUCCUAAGGUAGCGAAAUUCCUUGUCGGGUAAGUUCCGACCUGCACGAAUGGUGUAAUGAUCUGGACACUGUCUCAACCGUGAGCUCGGUGAAAUUGUAGUAUCGGUGAAGAUGCCGAUUACCCGCGAUGGGACGAAAAGACCCCGUGAACCUUUACUAUAGCUUUACAUUGAAUUUGGGCAGACGAUGUGUAGGAUAGGCCGGAGGCUUUGAAGGGGGUACGCCAGUAUCCUUGGAGCCGCCGUUGAAAUACGGCCCUUCGGUUGUUUGAGUUCUAACUCCUAGGCAGGAGGACACUGUAUGGUGGGUAGUUUGACUGGGGUGGUCGCCUCCAAAAGCGUAACGGAGGCUUCUAAAGGUGCCCUCAGACCGAUUGGUAACCGGUCGCAGAGUGUAAUGGCAUAAGGGCGCUUGACUGGGAGAGAUACAACUCGAUCAGGUAGGAAACUAGAGCAUAGUGAUCCGGUGGUUCCGCAUGGAAGGGCCAUCGCUCAAAGGAUAAAAGGUACUCCGGGGAUAACAGGCUGAUCAUUCCCAAGAGCUCAUAUCGACGGAAUGGUUUGGCACCUCGAUGUCGGCUCGUCACAUCCUGGGGCUGGAGAAGGUCCCAA